rnacentral:sRNA from 1 species
UUGACAAGUAUUAAUCUGAAGUCUUUUCUCUAUCUCCACAAUGGUACAGGCAUCGCAAGAGUACUGCAAGCUUUCAUAUGCUGCCCCAUCAGUGUACCUCAACCCUGACCUGGAGAGACCACUAGUGAUGGGACAGUACGUCAGUUUUGAUCCCUAUUUAGUCCUUGGCCUCU